UAUUAUGCAGAUAAUAGUUAGAACUAGAGGUCUUGGUCGAGCUUUAGACUGAUCAAUAGGAAAAGUCUUGGGGAGGAGAGACGGGAGUGACGAUGAUGCCCCCAGCGGUGAAGGCCUACUGCAUCAGCCCGUAGAUAGCGACAACAAGAGCGUGUUGUCGAGGAUCCUCCUACGGCCACAGAGAAAUUGAACGAAGAGCAGUCAGAAGCACCGGUUGAAGAAGCUGUGACUAAUGUUGAGGGUUUUCCAGGAGGAUCCCAUGACACAUUAAUUCUCACAGAUUUUGAAAAUCACAUUGCUUUGGAGUCUGGAAUGGAGACGUAUGUAAUUUUUUAAAAACAUAAAGAACGUAGUUUACUAGUUAAUAAUUUUUUUACAUCAUCAAUAUUAUUGUUUGCAGGAACGUCUUGAGCUGAAGCUAUCUUCCCAUGGAAGGAAGAUGGCUAAGUACGGGAGGCCUGCUCCAGAUAUUGAAGGCCUUGUGGCGGUCAGUGGACUAAGUCCUUUGAUCGCCUAUUCCUUAGAUACGGGCGAUCAGAGACUAAUGUCUUCUUUUGUGGAACACCGACAUAAGGAAACUAGUAGUUUCCAUUUGCCCGUCGGAGAGGUGACUAUCACCUUGGAUGACGUUGCGUCAUUGCUACAUCUAUCUGUUGUAGGGGAGUUCCACAACUUCGAGCUACUUCAUGUCGAUGACGCUGUUGAAAUGUUGGUGGAAUUACUCGAGGUCAACGCUACAGAGGCGAGAGCUGAGACGAUUCAGUGUCAUGGCUCUUAUGUUCAACUAUCGCUGCUGCGAGACGUGUAUCAGCUAAAGAUCGAGACAUGUCAUUGGAUCAUAGCAGCGCGAGCGUAUUUGUUGCAUCUUCUUGGAUGCACACUCUUUGCUAACAAGAGUGUCACACACGUGCACGUGAUAUUCUUGGAUACACUGCGUGACUUGACACAGAGUGGGGGUUACUUUUGGGGCGUUGUUGCACUUGUGCAAAUGUAUGAUAAUUUAAAUGACGCGUCCAAGAGCACGGUGAGACAGCUUGUAGGAUAUAUCACUCUGUGACAGGUUAGUUAAGAUGUUACGAAAAAAAAUUUCAUUGAAGUUGAAUAUUAUAUGUUGUCGUGUAUUUUAAUGAAUAUGCUUGCAAAAUAUAUUUAAUGUUGGAUCUACAAGUAUUUUUCAUCUAUUGGUUCUGCUGUUCUUGCCGAGGAUUAUGAUGAGAGGAGACCGUGUGCAUGUUGAUGGACCUCUGACAAGGCACUGCCCGUUUCCACGUAUAGUAGGCGUUUGGAUAGACUGACCCAUGACGUGGUGUGUUGGAUUUUGUACGGUGACCACUGUUCAUUUAGAGAAUUUGAGGUCAUCUCAUUAUUUUACGGCUAUCUCAGAUGGGGCCCCUUGACAGUCAUUAACCGACCGGAGAGGGUUGUAGGACAAUUUGGCUACAUCCAAACUAUUCCGCCACAUCCUGUUGCGUCAUUGUUCUUUGUUGAAAAAAUUAAUGAUAGAUGGAUGCAGUUUGGUGAGUACAUUACACCUGUAUGACAAUUAUGUGCAGUUUCUGGCCACGGUUCGCUAGAUUACAUUGAUUGGUUUUACUUGAUCUCACACUCAUUCAUGAGUCUGGCACAGCCAGGGGAUCCUCCUAGAGUGCCGCCGGUUCAACAAUAUGAGGAAUUUGUUGAAGCAGAUAUGUAUCAGCAACUGAUGGCAGUAGCGGCACCUAAUGAGGCAGAUGUUGAUGUGCAUCAUGUUCGACAUGCAAUAGAUGACAUUGUAGCAAUUGGUGAUAAGUUGGAGAGGCUACUGAAUCUGAGGAUCAAGGAACAGAAGCAUAUACUGUUGUUGAAAAAUGUGUGGGCAUCGCAAGAAGCUACAUUGCCCAACCAACUGUAGGUCAUAGAUCGAGGCGUAGGCAGUGUACAGACGAUCAUUGAAGUUGUUUUAUUUUUUCCUUGUAUAUGU